rnacentral:rRNA from 1 species
GACGAACGCUGGCGGCGUGCUUAACACAUGCAAGUCGAGCGGUAAGGCCCUUUCGGGGGUACGACGAGCGGCGAACGGGUGAGUAACACGUGGGUGACCUGCCCUCCAGCUCUGGGAUAAGCCUGGGAAACCGGGUCUAAUACCGGAUAUGACUCCAUGACGCAUGUUGUGGGGUGGAAAGCCUUGUGCGGCUGAGGAUGGGCCCGCGGCCUAUCAGCUUGUUGGUGGGGUGAUGGCCUACCAAGGCGACGACGGGUAGCCGGCCUGAGAGGGCGACCGGCCACACUGGGGCUGAGACACGGCCCAGACUCCUACGGGAGGCAGCAGUGGGGAAUCUUGCGCAAUGGGCGAAAGCCUGACGCAGCGACGCCGCGUGAGGGAUGAC